UACAGAGGUCCCAAGCGUUGUUCGGACUCACUGGGCGUAAAGGGUGCGUAGGCGGAGGAUUAAGUCUGCUGUGAAAGCUCCGAGCUUAACUCGGAAAUUGCAGUGGAAACUGAUUCUCUAGAGGUGUGGAGGGGGGACUGGAAUUCUCGGUGUAGCAGUGAAAUGCGUAGAGAUCGAGAGGAACACCAGUGGCGAAGGCGAGUCCCUGGACACCACCUGACGCUGAGGCACGAAAGCCAGGGUAGCAAACGGG
rnacentral:rRNA from 1 species